UCAUUUUUCCUGAGUCUCACUCUCACUCUCCAUUUCUUCGGUCCUAUCUCCACCACCACCACCACCACCACCACCACCACCACCGUCAAACGACAUCUCUUCUUCUACUACGAUGACCACCAUCAUCUUUAUCAUCUCCGUCUUCUCAUCUUCUUCAUCUUCAUCUUCUCUGUUGUUAGUUUUUCUAUCUUCAAUUUUAUUUGAAUCUGAUAAAAAGAUUACAUUUUUGGGUUAAACUUAACAUAUUCUGUCUGGGUUUUGAUUUUAUGAAUAAUUCUUCCAAAGUUUGAAGUUGAAUCUGAUAUAGGGUUUAGAUCAAAUUUUAUUGGAUUGGUAUUAAAUGGGGAUAGGGAUUUGAUUAUUGAAUUGGUAUUCAAGGGGGAUAGGGUAGGAUUUUAUGAAUUUGUCAAAUUUAGGAUAUGUUCUAAUUUGUGUAAUUUGUUCUUUUCAGGUUAAAAUUAACUGACCCAUCUCAAUGGAUGAAUCAAACCCUUAGGGAACUUUGCUCGAGCCAUAGGUUUAUGAAUGACUAAAGAGAGGGCAGUGAAUAUAUGUAUUGAGUUUCGUGAUUAUACUUCAAAACUACUCCUAUAGUUGAUCAGUACAAGUUAACUACUAGUAGUUGAAUAGCAUCGGGAAGCAGUGGAGCUGCUAACGAAAUGUUUAAGAUUGAUACAUUCCAGAUAUCGAGAAUUUCAUCUCUUUAAAGUAGUAGUAGAAGAAGAAUAAUAGGUUUUUGGGUAAAGCAUACAUUCCAGAUAUCGAGAAUUCUUCCUCAGAACCACCACCGGCGAAUGGAUAUUGAACAAGUGAUUGAGUUUUUAGCUCAUGUUCCGUUGCUACAACGGCUUCCGGAUUCAUCUUUUGCUGAGAUCGCAAAAAUAGUGCAGUUCAAACAUUACAACCGUGGCGAGUUCAUCGUUCGGGUGGGAGACGCCGGAGAUGAAAUUUACUUCAUUUGGGAAGGAGUGGUAAGAGAAAUGAAAAUUGAUUCUAUAGGAUUCCUAAUUUUUGGUUUUGGUUAAUUUUUUUAUGCAGAGCUAAUGUUACUAGGGUUCAUUUCAUUGCUACUGACGAUAGGACAAGUGCCCAUCUCAAAGAUUUGCAUCCCACAGAGUGUUGCUAAUACUUGGCAUCCAUGUAGCAAGCAACAAGAAUAUGACUUGUACAACAUUGGAAGCGUCACAACAGCAUUUCAUAAUACUGAUUCCCAUGAAUCCAACAAUUUAGUUGGAACUCCCGGCCGUAGACUUGUCUCUAAUUCAUCGUAUCCACUUUCAAGUCAUUGGCGCGCUUUAGCUGGAGGAGGAGACUAUGAUGUAUGCGCGGCCAA